GACGAACGCUGGCGGCGUGCUUAACACAUGCAAGUCGAACGGAAAGGCCUGUUUCUUGCUGUUCUCGCGUUGCCAACGGGUGAGUAACACGUAAGUAGCCAGCCCUUCUCUUUGGGUUAACUUCCUUAAACUGGCGCUAACUCCUGCUAGGAGCUCCUUCUGCAUGGUUGGGUCUGUAAUGUUUCGCCGGUUUGGGGUCGACUCGCGGGGUAUCAGCUUGUUAGUGGGGUAGUGGUUUACCAAGGCCUUGACGGGUAGCCGGCCUGUGAGGGUGACACGCGACACUGGGACUGAGGGGAGGCACAGACUCGUAAGGGUGGCAGAAGUGGGGAAUCCUGCACGAUGGGUGGAAGGUUGAUGCAGAAACGCCGUGGGCGGUAUGACGGUCUUAGGGUUGAAGAACGAUUUUGUAAAUAACGAAGCUUUGUGUGACGGUAGUGGGUAAAGAAGCAACGGCUAACUACGUG
rnacentral:rRNA from 1 species